CAUUAACUCUCUUUCAUAAAUUGAUUUAUUUUGGGUCUUUGGUGGGAGAACCUGACUAAAGUAACCUAUAGGCCUCUGAUUUUGCAUUAAACCAGCCCCUAACCCAUAUCCCGAAGCAUUGGUUUCAAUCACAAAGGGUUGUAAAAAAUCUGGAACAGCUAGCACCGACACCGUCAUCAUCGCAUCCUUCAAUUUUGUGAAUGCAACCUCGGCUGCGUCAUUCCAUCCAAAACUAUCCUUUUUUAACAGUUGAGUCAAUGGCCAUGCAAUUUUCCCAUAGCCCUCCACAAAGCGACAAUAAUACCAUGUCAAUCCUAGGAAGCCCCUCCACUCCUUAAGUGAUUUUGGUCAUGGCCAAUCUCUCAUUGCAGCAAACUUUGAUUCGUCCGCUGCCACUCCUUUUUUUUUUGACGUGCCCAAGGUACUCUAUCUCUAUCUGUCCAAACGAGCAUUUCUUUUUGUUUGCAUAAAGCUGAAUAUCCUCCAAAAUCUGCAUUACAAUUCUCAAGUGAUCUCGGUGUUCAACCUCCGUACAGCUAUAAAUCAAGAUGUCAUCAAAGAAGACUAACAUAAAUUUUCGAAGUUGUUCUCUGAAGAUAGUACUCAUCAGUGAUUGGAAAGUGGCUGGUGCAUUUGUUAAACCAAAUGACAUGACAAAAAAGUUUUAGCCCCCGUUUGGCCUCCUUUAAAACUCUUCAAUUUAAUUUAAUUUUUUCUCUCUCAUACUUUCAACCACACAAUUUUCAAUAAAAUAAUAUUACACUCAAAUCGAAAACUUUUCAAUCACACAAUUUUCAAAAAAAUACUAUUCCCCCCAUUAUAAAUUCAAAUAAUGGGGGCCAAACAAGGGCUUAGUGUCCUUCGUGGGUUCGAAAAGCAAUUUUCGGAACAUCCUCAGCCUUUACCCGAAUCUGAUGGUACUUGGAUCUGAGAUCGAUUUUCAAAAAAACAAUAGCUCCAUUCAAUUUAUCCAGUAAUUCAUCAAUAACAAGAAUCGAAAAUUUGUCAAGAAAGGUGACCCUGUUUAGGGCUCGAUAAUUCACGCAAAACCGCUAACUCCCAUCUUUCUUCCUUACUAGUGGCACAAGACUUUAAAAUGGACUAGUAUUAUGUUGGAUAAUUCUUGCAGCCAGCAUCUGUGUACUAACAGUUCAAUUUCAUUCUUUUGGAAGUGUGGGUAUCGGCAUGGCCUCACGCUAACGAGGUUAGUCCCUGGUUUUAGAAUGAUCGCAUGAUCAUGACUUCUCC
rnacentral:lncRNA from 1 species